GAUGAACGCUGGCGGCGUGCCUAAUACAUGCAAGUCGAGCGAAUGGAUUAAGAGCUUGCUCUUAUGAAGUUAGCGGCGGACGGGUGAGUAACACGUGAGUAACCUGCCCAUAAGACUGGGAUAACUCCGGGAAACCGGGGCUAAUACCGGAUAACAUUUUGAACCGCAUGGUUCGAACUUGAAAGGCGGCUUCGGCUGUCACUUAUGGAUGGACUCGCGUCGCAUUAGCUAGUUGGUGAGGUAACGGCUCACCAAGGCAACGAUGCGUAGCCGACCUGAGAGGGUGAUCGGCCACACUGGGACUGAGACACGGCCCAGACUCCUACGGGAGGCAGCAGUAGGGAAUCUUCCGCAAUGGACGAAAGUCUGACGGAGCAACGCCGCGUGAGUGAUGAAGGCUUUCGGGUCGUAAAACUCUGUUGUUAGGGAAGAACAAGUGCUAGUUGAAUAAGCUGGCACCUUGACGGUACCUAACCAGAAAGCCACGGCUAACUACGUGCCAGCCGCCGCCGUAA
rnacentral:rRNA from 1 species